GAUGAACGCUGGCGGCGUGCCUAAUACAUGCAAGUCGAGCGAACAGACGAGGAGCUUGCUCCUCUGACGUUAGCGGCGGACGGGUGAGUAACGCGUGGAUGACCUACCUAUAAGACUGGGAUAACUACGGGAAACCGGAGCUAAUACGGGAUAAUAUAUUGAACCGCAUGGUUCAAUAGUGAAAGACGGUUUUGCGGUCACUUAUAGAUGGAUCCGCGCCGCAUUAGUUAGUUGGUAAGGUAACGGCUUACCAAGUCAACGAUGCGUAGCCGACCUGAGAGGGUGGUUCGCUACCUGGGAUCUGAGAAAGGGUCGAGACUCCUGGGGGGGGCAGCAGUAGGGACUCUUACGCGAUGGGGGAAAGCCGGACGGAGCAACGUCGCGUGAAUGAUGAAGGUGUUCGGAUCGGAAAACUCUGUAAUUAGUGAGGAAGAAAUGUGUUAGCACCGAUGCAGGUCUUGACGGUACCUGAUGAGAAAGCCACGGCUAACUACGUG
rnacentral:rRNA from 1 species